rnacentral:lncRNA from 1 species
GGCCUCUGUAGCUCAAUAGGUUUAUAUAUAGCGCUGCAACGGAAUCGCAGGGCCGCAGUUUCGAUUCCAGUCAGGGACCUAAAGUUGCAUUUUUCGUAGCUAUUCCUGGUUAGGUCUAGUAAAUCUAAAUUUCCACUCGAUAAUUUCCAUCUAUGACCCUUCAACUAUUAGGGACAGGUCAUUAUUUAUGGCGGGGGUCCAGUGGGACCGAAGAGCAC